rnacentral:rRNA from 1 species
AGUUUGAUCCUGGCUCAGGAUGAACGCUGGCGGCGUGCCUAACGCAUGCGAGUCAAACGGAGAAUGUACCACUACGUUCUUACUGGCUAACGAGUGAGUAACGCGUUGGUGACCAGCCCCGAAGCGGGGGAUAACAUUCCGAAUGGAUUGCUAAUACCCCCUGUGGUCGUUGGGAUUAUAUGCCCCAGGAUUAAAGGUGUAAACCACUUCGGGAGGGGCGUGCGUCCCAUCAGCUAGCAGGUAGAGUAAUGGCAUCCCACGGGUUAGACGGGUAGGGCACAUGAGAGGGUGACCCCCCACAAUGGUCCUGAAACACGCUCCAUACACGUACGGUUGGCAGCAGUGAGGAAUAUUGGUUAAUGGGCGAAAGCCCGAACCAGCAACGCCGCGUGUGCGAUGAAGGCCUUCGGGUUGUAAAGCACCUUGGGAGGGGAAGAGAAGGGACGGUACCCUCCGAAUAAGCCUCGGCUAACUACGUGCCAGCAGCCGCGGUAACACGUAGGAGGCGAGCGUUAUCCGGAUUUAAUGGGUGUAAAGCGCGUGCAGGCGGUUCGUUAAGUUGGAUGUGAAAGCUCCUGGCUUAAUCGGGAGAGGUCGUUCAAUACUGCCGGGCUAGAGGAUGGGAGAGGGAGGUGGAAUUCCGGGUGUAGUGGUGAAAUGCGUAGAUAUCCGGAGGAACACCAGUGGCGAAGGCGGCCUCCUGGCCCAUUUCUGACGCUCAGACGCGAAAGCUAGGGGAGCGAACGGGAUUAGAGACCCCGGUAGUCCUAGCCGUAAACGAUGUGAACUUGGCGUCGGCGGGUUUAAAUCCGUCGGUGCCGCAGCUAACGCGAUAAGUUCACCACGUGAGUACUACGGCCGCAAGGUUAAAAUUCAAAGGAAUUGACGGGUCCCCGCACAAGCAGCGGAGCGUGUGGUUUAAUUCGUUGAUACACGAAGAACCUUACCAGGGUUUGACAUACAGGUGGUAGUGAAGCGAAAGCAGAUCGACCCUUCGGGGAGCCUGUACAGGUGUUGCAUGGCUGUGGUCAGCUCGUGUUGUGAGAUGUUCGGUUAAGUCCGCUCAACGAGCGCAACCCUUCGCUGUGUGUUCUACAUGUGUCGCUCGGGACUGCCGGUGUCAAGCACGGAGGAAGGUGGGGAUGACGUCAAGUCAGCAUGACCCUUAUAUCGUGGGCUACACACACGCUACAAUGGUUGGCACAAUGGGUCGAUAAGCCGCGAGGUAGAGCCAAUCUUCAAAGUCGGCUUCAGUUCAGAUUGCAGGCUGCAACUCGCUUGCGUGAAGCCGGAGUCGUUAGUAACCGCAGGUCAGGUAUAAUGCGGUGAAUACGUUCCCGGGGGUUGUAAUCACCGCCCGUCA